rnacentral:pre_miRNA from 1 species
UUAACUCAAAUUUGUAUGGAGUUGGAACAGCGGUAGUGGCAAACAUAAGCAAACGAUCCAACUCCAUACAAAUUUUAGUUA